rnacentral:rRNA from 1 species
AGUUUGAUUCUGGCUCAGAUUGAACGCUGGCGGGAUGCUUUACACAUGCAAGUCGAACGGCAGCACGGACUUCGGUCUGGUGGCGAGUGGCGAACGGGUGAGUAAUGUAUCGGAACGUGCCUAGUAGCGGGGGAUAACUACGCGAAAGCGUAGCUAAUACCGCAUACGCCCUUCGGGGGAAAGCGGGGGGACCCCGCCUCGCACUAUUGAGAGCGGCCGAUAUCGGAUUAGCUAGUUGGUGGGGUAACGGCUCACUGGCGACGAUCCGUAGCUGGUUUGAGAGGACGACCAGCCACACUGGGACCAGACACGGCCCAGACUCACGGGAGGCAGCAGUGGGGAAUUUUGACAAUGGGGAAGUUCUGAUCCAGCCAUCCAUCAGGCGUGUGCGAUGAAGGCCUUCGCUUGUAAAGCACUUUUGGCAGGAAAGAAACGGCACGGGAUAAUACCCCGUGCAACUGACGGUACCUGCAGAAUAAGCACCGGCUAACUACGUGCCAGCAGCCGCGGUAAUACGUAGGUGCAAGCUAAUCGGAAUUACUGGCGUAAAGCGUGCAGGCGGCUCGGAAAGAAAGAUGUAAAUCCCAGAGCUUAACUUUGGAACUGCAUUUUUAACUACCGAGCUAGAGGUGUCAGAGGGAGGUGGAAUUCCGCGUGUAGCAGUGAAAUGCGUAGAUAUGUGAGGAACACCGAUGGCGAAGGCAGCCUCCUGGGAUAACACUGACGCUCAUGCACGAAAGCGUGGGGGCGGGUACCAGAUUAGAUACCCCGUAGUCCACGCCCUAAACGAUGUCAACUAGCUGUUGGGGCCUUCGCCCCAGGCGCAGCUAACGCGUAGUGUGUUGACCGCUCGUGAGGUACGGUCGCAAGAUUAAAACCUCAGCAUCGACGGGGACCGCACAAGCGGUGGAUGAUGUGGAUUAAUUCGAUGCAACGCGAAAAACCUGCCUACCCUUGACAUGUCUGGAAUCCCGAAGAGAUUGGGAGUGCUCGCAAGAGAAACUGGAACACAGGGUAUGUAGCGAUGUCGUCAGUUCGUGUCGAGAUGUUGGGUUAAGUCCCGCAACGAGCGCAACCCCGCUUCGCUGCUACGAAGGGCACUCUAUCGAUCGCCGGUGACAAACCGAGGAAGGUGGGGAUGACGCGUCAAGUCCUCAUGGCCCCAGGUAGGGCUUCACACGUCAUACAAUGGUCGGGACAGAGUGGUCGCCAACCCAGAGGGGGAGCUGCGCCAAUCCCAGAAACCCGAUCGUAGUCCGGAUCGCAGUCUGCAACUCGACUGCGUGAAGUCGGAAUCGCUAGUAAUCGCGGAUCAGCAUGUCGCGGUGAAUACGUUCCCGGGUCUUGUACACACCGCCUGUCACACCAUGGGAGUGGGUUUUAUCAGAAGUAGCAGCCUAACCGUAAGGAGUGGGCGAUUACCACGGUAGGAUUCAGACUGGGGUGAAGUCGUACUAGCGAAGCCC